rnacentral:rRNA from 1 species
UACGUAGGCAGCGAGCGUUGUUCGGAAUUACUGGGCGUAAAGAGUGUGUAGGCGGUGCUCUAAGUUCGGUGUGAAAUCUCCUGGCUCAACUGGGAGGGUGCGCCGGAAACUGGAGUGCUUGAGCGUGGGAGAGGAAAGCGGAAUUCCUGGUGUAGCGGUGAAAUGCGUAGAUAUCAGGAGGAACACCGGUGGCGAAGGCGGGUCUCUGGGCCGAUACUGACGCUGGAGGAGCGAAAGCGUGGGGAGCGAACAGG